UACGAAGGGGGCUAGCGUUGUUCGGAUUUACUGGGCGUAAAGCGCACGCAGGCGGCCAAACAAGUCAGAGGUGAAAUCCCAGGGCUCAACCCUGGAACUGCCUUUGAAACUGUUUGGCUAGAGAUCGAGAGAGGAUAGUGGAAUUCCUAGUGUAGAGGUGAAAUGCUUAGAUAUGACAUAGAACACCAAUUGCGAAGGCAGCUUACUACACGAUCAUUGACACUGAGGCACGAAAGCGUGGGGAGCAAACAGG
rnacentral:rRNA from 1 species